rnacentral:rRNA from 1 species
AAUGGGCUAGGGGCCGAGAGGUUACUGAACCCUAUCAAACUCAGAAUGCCGGAUAAUCGUAUACGGGAGUCAGACAGCGUGAGAUAAGUUUCGUUGUCGAAAGGGAAACAGCCCAGAUCCACAGCUAAGGUCCCUAAACACGAUUAAGUGGAGAAGGAUGUGGAGUUGCACAGACAACCAGGAUGUUGGCUUAGAAGCAGCCACUCAUUAAAAGAGUGCGUAAUAGCUCACUGGUCGAGUGACUCUGCGCCGAAAAUUCAACGGGGCUAAAUCGUGUACCGAAGCUUGGGAUUCCAGGUACUGAACAAUGCAUACAGGUGAAGCGGAAAGAGGAAUCUGGCGGCGGCGAAGCCGACGCAAAAUUCCCUCUCAGGAAAAAGCGUGAAAACGCAGAGACGAGGGAGAGGGAAAGGCGGCGAAGCCGACGCGAAAUUACUUUAAGCUAAACGUGUAUGGGAUUGUUCAGUAUCUGGAGUGGUAGGAGAGCGUUCCAUAAGGGGGGAAGUCAGAGCGGAAGCGCUGGUGGACUUUAUGGAAGUGAGAAUGCCGGAAUGAGUAGCGCGAAUUAUGUGAGAAUCAUAAUGGCCGAAAGUCUAAGGUUUUUGAAGGAAGGUUCGUCCGCUUCAAGAUAGUCGGGAGCUAAGGCGAGGCCGAGAGGCGUAGUCGAUGCACAAACGGUUGAUAUUCCGUUACCGUCAAAAGAUUUAAGCAAGGGGACACUGGGAAAGCGCAUAACCCGGGCGAUGGUAGCCCCGGGCGAAAGGGACUGAAAUUCAAGUAGGGAAGUAUGCGUAGACUCAGGCGAGAAAAGCCUUGUGUAUAUCUGCGAUGCCCGUACCGCAAACCGACACAGGUAGAUAGGAAGAGAAUUCUAAGGCCAACGGGAGAAGGGUAGUUAAGGAACUCGGCAAAUUGACCCCGUAACUUCGGGAAAAGGGGUGCUCCAGAGAUGGAGCCGCAGUGAAUAGGCCCAGGCAACUGUUUAGCAAAAACACAGGUCUCUGCGAAAUCGAAAGAUGAAGUAUAGGGGCUGACACCUGCCCAGUGCUGGAAGGUUAAGAGGAGGCGUGCAAGCGCCGAAUUGAAGCCCCAGUGAACGGCGGCCGUAACUAUAACGGUCCUAAGGUAGCGAAAUUCCUUGUCGGGUAAGUUCCGACCCGCACGAAUGGUGUAAUGAUCUGGGCACUGUCUCAACUACCCGCCCGGCGAAAUUGUAGUACCGGUGAAGAUGCCGGUUACCCGCGACAAGACGGAAAGACCCCAUGGAGCUUUACUGUAGCUUGAUAUUGGGUUUCGAUAUUUUAUGUACAGGAUAGGCGGGAGGCUAGGAAACACCGGCGCCAGCUGGUGCGGAGCCACCCUUGGGAUACCGCCCUUAAAGUAUUGGAAUUCUAACCUGCGGCCGUGAAUCCGGCCGGGGGACAUUGUCAGGUGGGCAGUUUGACUGGGGCGGUCGCCUCCAAAAGAGUAACGGAGGCGCUCAAAGGUCCGCUCAGCACGGACGGAAACCGUGCCUUAGAGUGUAAACGCAUAAGCGGGCCUAACUGCGAGACCGACGGGUCGAGCAGUAACGAAAGUU